rnacentral:rRNA from 1 species
CGCCUCUUGCAACCCAUAAGAGGUCCAGCCUGCCCAGUGAAUUUAUUCAACGGCCGCGGUAUCCUAACCGUGCGAAGGUAGCGUAAUCACUUGCCCUUUAAAUAAGGUCUAGUAUGAACGGCUCCACGAAGGUUAAACUGUCUCCUUUUUCUAAUCAGUGAAACUAAUCUCCCCGUGAAGAAGCGGGGAUAGACCCAUUAGACGAGAAGACCCUAUGGAGCUUUAAAUAUUAACAACAUUUGCUAUUUAACUCAUUAUAAACAACAUUCCUGUUUGUUAAUUUUUGGUUGGGGCGACCACGGAGUAAAACUCAACCUCCCUGUUGAAAAUAGCUAAAACCACAAUUUUAAGCACCAAUAAACUGACAUCCAUUGACCCAAUAUUUUGAUCAACGAACCAAGUUACCCUAGGGAUAACAGCGCUAUCCACUUCAAGAGCUCCUAUCGACAAGUGGGUUUACGACCUCGAUGUUGGAUCAGGGUGUCCCAGUGGUGCAGCCACUACUAAAGGUUCGUUUGUUCAACGAUUGAAACCCUA